UGGGGCGUAGCAUAGCUGGCAAUGCGCCUGGCUGUUAACCAGGAAAUCGAAGGUUCGAGUCCUUCCGCCCCAGCUA
rnacentral:tRNA from 1 species